GCUCUCUUCCUCCGCCUUCCCUUCCCCCGCACCUGGACGAACCCCAGUGGUGCCCUCUCUGCUCCAGCGCGCAGAGAUGUGGCCACGGCCACCUCUGCACGCACCCCUCGGAACACACGUGCACGCUAGGAUGUGGACGGGUAUGGAGACACCCACGUGCCCAUACAGGCACCAGUGAGCGCGCAGGCACACACACAGGCUCAGACACAUACAUGCAUACAUGUGCUCAUAGACACUGGCGCACGGACUCACACUCGGCGCGGGGGAGGGGCAAGAGGUGUGCACAUGCACAGAGGCACACAUGCGCGCACACAUACGUGUUCGGCCGCAAGCGAUGAACAGCCAAUAUACACACAGACACCUCCUCCCAGCUCACCCUCCAAAAACAAUGACCCAGAGCCUCACAGGUACUCAAGGGGAAGACACGUCACACACAUACAGCCUUCUCACUACCUUCCCAAAAGGGUGCUCCCCUACCCAGCACACCCUCGCUGGACGCCUCCGAUCUUCCCCUCCCCCGGCCUCAACCUCUCCCCCCACGGAGUUUUCAGGACACCUGUCCACUGAGUGUCCCACUUAGGACAAAACCCUUCCUGGGUCACUUAGGUUCGGCCGAGGAAGCCACUUCUAGGUGCCUCUCCACUGGGAUCUGCCUCCCCCCACUCCCCACCGCAGAGUUUUGGGGACCUCUGGGAAGCACUUGUCAUAGCCCAAGAGCACCGUGAGCCGGCCGGGAACGCCUGAAUGCAGUCAGCACCCAGGACAGCUCCCCUGUUGCCCAGGUCACCUCCCCAACCUUGUGGGAGGACGUGGCCCCAUUUGGCCCCUGGCCCUUCAGAAGUGAAGAAAGGGGUCCCCAGAAGAGAAGGAAGGCUUCGAGGUGGAACAUGGCUCCGUGAGGAAAGAGACACUGCAGCCUGCAAAGCGGGGCUGGGGCCCCCUGAAGCCUUGUCCCCCUGCCCUCUCCAUCCCAUCCUUGUGCCCCAGGCUCUGGAAUAGAGACUGACACAGCUCUGA